rnacentral:rRNA from 1 species
UACGUAGGGUGCGAGCGUUAAUCGGAUUUACUGGGCGUAAAGCGUGCGCAGGCGGCCCGUUAAGACAGGUGUGAAAUCCCUGGGCUCAACCUAGUAAUUGCGCUUGUGACUGGCGGGCUCGAGUACGGUAGAGGGGGGUGGAAUUCCUGGUGUAGCAGUGAAAUGCGUAGAGAUCAGGAGGAACACCGAUGGCGAAGGCAGCCCCCUGGGCCUGUACUGACGCUCAUGCACGAAAGCGUGGGGAGCAAACAGG